rnacentral:rRNA from 1 species
UACGAAGGGUGCAAGCGUUACUCGGAAUUACUGGGCGUAAAGCGUGCGUAGGUGGUUUGUUAAGUCUGUUGUGAAAGCCCCGGGCUCAACCUGGGAAUGGCAAUGGAUACUGGCAGGCUAGAGUGCGGUAGAGGGUAGUGGAAUUCCCGGUGUAGCGGUGAAAUGCGUAGAGAUCGGGAGGAACACCAGUGGCGAAGGCGGCCCACUGGGCAGUCACUGACGCUGAGGCGCGAAAGCGUGGGGAGCAAACAGG